rnacentral:lncRNA from 1 species
CUUCUAAUCCACCAGCGGGGGAGUGGCGGGGCCGCUGUCUGCCGCUCUCUUGUGUAACAGCACCAACGGCUCAGUCCCUCUGCCUGGCGCUGAAGCGUGGCUGCUGCGGCGUCUGGGCGGUCCUAGUGCCUGCUCCAGGUUAGCACAGGCUGCCCCUCCAGGAGUCGCCCGCUUCCUUCCCUGCUUCUUCUCCUGGAGGUUGUCACCGAAGGUUUUCGGAGAUGAGAACCGGUUAAGCCUCAGGGCAGUGGAGUUUGUUUAGGGGGAAAUGCUGAUUCCUGCCUUCCCCCAACAACAGUAGAAAAGACAAGACUUGAAAAAUGACCCAAAGUGAACAAAUAUAAUGAUGACUGCAAGGAUACUGGAAUAAAAUUUGAAGUUCAAGAGAUUGAAGAAGAUAUAUGCCAGGU